CGCGUGCACUGGUUCGGCCGGGCCUUUCCUUCUGGAGAGCCGCAUGCCCUUCACUGGGUGUGCCGGGGAACCAGGACUUUUACUUUGAAAAAAUUAGAGUGUUCAAAGCAGGCCUUUGCUCGAAUACGUUAGCAUGGAAUAAUAGAAUAGGACGUGCGGUCCUAUUUUGUUGGUUUCUAGGACCGCCGUAAUGAUUAAUAGGGAUAGUCGGGGGCAUCAGUAUUCAAUUGUCAGAGGUGAAAUUCUUGGAUUUAUUGAAGACUAACUACUGCGAAAGCAUUUGCCAAGGAUGUUUUCAUUAAUCAGUGAACGAAAGUUAGGGGAUCGAAGACGAUCAGAUACCGUCGUAGUCUUAACCGUAAACUAUGCCGACUAGGGAUCGGGCGAUGUUACUAUUUUGACUCGCUCGGCACCUUACGAGAAAUCAAAGUUUUUGGGUUCUGGGGGGAGUAUGGUCGCAAGGCUGAAACUUAAAGAAAUUGACGGAAGGGCACCACCAGGCGUAAACCGCAAACUCUGCGCCGGAAAGCAGCCCGAAAGGGUGAGUGGAUGCCGACCUUGAAUGCUAGUCGCGCUCCUGGAACGCGGCGACAUGCCUAAAUUGCGGGGAACUCGCGAAGCUCUCGCUACCAAGCCGCCCGCCGAAAGGCGGGUGGUGGCCAGGGUAAUGACCUCGGGUAGGGUAACAACGCGCAGAGCAUGUGACGAUCCGCAGCCAAGCCCCUCUGGCGCGUCCGUGGGGAAGGUUCAGAGACUACAAUGGCGUGCGUCCCGCCGGCGACCGCCGGUGAGGGCUUAAGGUAUAGUCCAACCCCGCCCGAAAGGGCGGGACGGGUGCGCGGCG
rnacentral:rRNA from 1 species